GAGCGGACUAACAAGGAGCUUGCUCCUUUGAAGUGAGCGGCGGACGGGUGAGUACACGUGGGCAACCUGCCCUAUAGUUUGGGAUAACUCCGGUGACAACGGGGCUAAUACCGAAUGAUACAUUUUAACUCCUGUUAGAAUGUUGAAAGAUGGUUACACUAUCGCUAUAGGAUGGGCCCGCGGCGCAUAAGCUAGUAGGUGAGGUAACGGCUCACCUAGGCAACGAUGCGUAUCCGAUCUGAGGGGGUGAUCGGCCACUCUGGGACUGAGACACGGCCCAUACUCCUACGGGAGGCAGCAGUAUGGAAUCUUCCUCAAUGGACGAAAGUCUGAUGGAUCAUCGCCGCGUGAGUGAAGAAUGUUUUCGGAUCGUAAAACUCUGUUGUAAGGGAAGAAUAAUUGCAGUAGUAACUGGCUGCACCUUGACGGUACCUUAUUAGAAAGCCACGGCUAACUACGUGCCAGCAGCCGCGGUAAU
rnacentral:rRNA from 1 species